rnacentral:rRNA from 1 species
GAUGAACGCUGGCGGCUUGCCUAAUACAUGCAAGUCGAGCGAACGGACGAGAAGCUUGCUUCUCUGAUGUUAGCGGCGGACGGGUGAGUAACACGUGGAUAACCUAACUAUCAGACUGGGGUACCUACGCGAAACCGGAGCUAAUACCGGAUAAUAUUUUGAACCGCGUUGUUCACAAGUUAAAGACGGUCUUGUUGUAACUUAUAGAUGAAUCAGCGCUGCAUUAGCUAGUCGGUACGUGAACAGCUUACCAACGAAACGAUGGUUACCCCCUCUAAAAGGGAGAACGGCUAGACUGGAUCUGAGAAUGGGCCCAGACUCUGACGGGAAGCAGCGGUAGGGAAUCUUCCGCAAAGGGGGAGUGCCUGACGGAGCAACGCCGGGUAAGGGAUGAAGGUCUUCGGAUCCUAAAGCUCUGUUAUUAGGGAAGAACUUAUGUGUAAGUACCUGUGAUCAUCUUGACGGUACCUAAUCAGAAAGCCACGGCUAACUACGUG